rnacentral:rRNA from 1 species
CUGCAACUGUUUAUUAAAAACACAGCACUGUGCAAACACGAAAGUGGACGUAUACGGUGUGACGCCUGCCCGGUGCCGGAAGGUUAAUUGAUGGGGUCAGCGCAAGCGAAGCUCCUGAUCGAAGCCCCGGUAAACGGCGGCCGUAACUAUAACGGUCCUAAGGUAGCGAAAUUCCUUGUCGGGUAAGUUCCGACCUGCACGAAUGGCGUAAUGAUGGCCAGGCUGUCUCCACCCGAGACUCAGUGAAAUUGAACUCGCUGUGAAGAUGCAGUGUACCCGCGGCAAGACGGAAAGACCCCGUGAACCUUUACUAUAGCUUGACACUGAACAUUGAGCCUUGAUGUGUAGGAUAGGUGGGAGGCUUUGAAGUGUGGACGCCAGUCUGCAUGGAGCCGACCUUGAAAUACCACCCUUUAAUGUUUGAUGUUCUAACGUGGACCCGUAAUCCGGGUUGCGGACAGUGUCUGGUGGGUAGUUUGACUGGGGCGGUCUCCUCCUAAAGAGUAACGGAGGAGCACGAAGGUUGGCUAAUCCUGGUCGGACAUCAGGAGGUUAGUGCAAUGGCAUAAGCCAGCUUGACUGCGAGCGUGACGGCGCGAGCAGGUGCGAAAGCAGGUCAUAGUGAUCCGGUGGUUCUGAAUGGAAGGGCCAUCGCUCAACGGAUAAAAGGUACUCCGGGGAUAACAGGCUGAUACCGCCCAAGAGUUCAUAUCGACGGCGGUGUUUGGCACCUCGAUGUCGGCUCAUCACAUCCUGGGGCUGAAGUAGGUCCCAAGGGUAUGGCUGUUCGCCAUUUAAAGUGGUACGCGAGCUGGGUUUAGAACGUCGUGAGACAGUUCGGUCCCUAUCUGCCGUGGGCGCUGGAGAACUGAGGGGGGCUGCUCCUAGUACGAGAGGACCGGAGUGGACGCAUCACUGGUGUUCGGGUUGUCAUGCCAAUGGCACUGCCCGGUAGCUAAAUGCGGAAGAGAUAAGUGCUGAAAGCAUCUAAGCACGAAACUUGCCCCGAGAUGAGUUCUCCCUGAGACUUUAGGUCUCCUGAAGGAACGUUGAAGACGACGACGUUGAUAGGCCGGGUGUGUAAGCGCAGCGAUGCGUUGAGCUAACCGGUACUAAUGAACCGUGAGGCUUAACCUUACAACGCCGAA